rnacentral:rRNA from 1 species
ACGGAAGGCAGCAGUAGGGAAUUUUCGGCAAUGGGCGAAAGCCUGACCGAGCAAUGGUGCGUGAGGGAGACGGUCUUUGGAUUGUAAACCUCUUUUAUAAGGGAUGAACAGACGGAUGAGGAAAUGCUUCCGUCCUGACAGUACCUUUUGAAUAAGCUCCGGCUAACUAUGUGCCAGCAGCCGCGGUAAUACAUAGGGAGCGAGCGUUAUCCGGAAUUAUUGGGCGUAAAGAGUGCGUAGGCGGUUUGUUAAGUUGGUUGUGAAAUGUCAGGGCUAAACCCUGGCCUGCAUCCAAAACUGGCUUACUAGAGUACGGUAGGGGUGAGUGGAAUUCCAUGUGUAGCGGUAAAAUGCGUAGAUAUAUGGAGGAACACCAGUAGCGAAGGCGGCUCACUGGGCCGGUACUGACGCUAAUGCACGAAAGCGUGGGUAGCAAACAGGAUUAGAUACCCUGGUA